GCCCUCCGUCGUCGUCGACGCCCCCUCGAACGGGUUACUGAACCCAUCCUGCGACUCGUCGCUCGCGCGUCGCGCGCGUCCGCUCUCGAACGGGUUCGACGCCCGCGCGGGCGUCGUCUCGAACGGGUUGCUCAUUCGAACGCGUCGGAUCGAAUCAAAUCUUCAAAUCUUCAAAUCUUUCGCAAAUCUGUGCGCGUUCGCGCCCCUCGC
rnacentral:lncRNA from 1 species